rnacentral:piRNA from 1 species
UCACCGCUUUCAGAAUAUAUA